CAUAUGGACGUUCCCAGGCUAGGGGUCAAAUCAGAGCUGUAGCUGCUGGCCUACACCACAGCCACAGCAACACAGGAUCUGAGCCACGUCUGUGACCUACACCACAGCUCAAGGCAACGCUGGAUCAUUCAACCCACUGAGGAAGGCCAGAGAUCGAACCUGCGUCCUCAUGAAUACUAGUCAGAUUCGUUUCUUGGGUUAAGGAUCCAGGGUUGUCACUGCAGUGGCUCGGGUUGCUGCUAUGGUACAGGUUUGGUCCCUGACUGGGGACCUCUGACAUGCCCUGGGAAAGGCUAAAAAAAAAAAAGUACAAAUCAAGACAUCAAUCCACAAUACACCUGUAUUGAAUAUGCCCUAUAGAGAAGGUGCUGUCCUAGGCAGAGUUGAGUAUGGAAAUGAAUGCAAGAUACGAUCCCUAACUUCGCAGGUCUUAGAAAGCUACCAUUUUAUUCAUAAUUUAGUGUUAGACGUGUUUAAUGAAGAGUUAUAUUAGUAGUGCUUAAGAAUUUUAAUUGCAUAUUGGAAAGGCACUGGAUAUAUAUGUUUGACUGGGUCACUUGGCUGUGUAGCAGAAAUUGGCACAACAUUGUAAAUCAACUAUGCCCUAAUAAAUUAAAAAAAAAAAAAAAGACCAAAAAAGAAUUCCAAUUGCUGGUUAAGAAAAAUAGCAAUUUCCAGAGAUCAUUAUUUCGUACUUGGUAGAGUCUAAGACUUUUAGCCUUUUUCAAAUUUGAAGUUUAAAUAUGUUGCUUUCACAAUGAAUUUAACGUACCAAAAUUUUCAUUCAAAUGACAUUGUUUCUAUGUAGUUUUGAUACAGGUAUGCAUGAAACCAAACUCCAACUUUUGAAGAAAUGCCCCUUUUUUGACCAUUUAAACAUUUUUCUAUAAGCCCUAUAUUGGGGGGUCUUCCUAUCAGUGACAGCGAUGUCAUCUUAAACACACGCACAUCCCAUCUGGGCGCUGUCUUGAACUAAAUCCCAAAACAAAAUGAAGGGACGUCUUUCAGUCGAACUCAGGUCCAGGCGCUGCCAGCGGAUGUGGGGCAGUCACUCCUCCAGAAGGCCCUGGCCCUCCUGGGGGCCCGCAGAGGUCAUUUCCUCUGUUUAAAUUCAACUCGGCAUUGUCCUUCCGGCUGCUGGACACCCACCAAAUGGAGAGAACUCUAAAAGCAGAAAUACAGAAGGAAUAUAGAAGUUAAGGGACAUAAGCCAACGGUUUGGCUCAAGGUUUUUUCCUAUGCAAUUGUUCCUAAAAGGCACAGAGGCUAGGUUUGGAAGCCUGAGAGUUUUUGCUUGAUGAGUUCUCAAUGGCAAGCAUCAAUUUUCGCCCUCCAUCAAGGCACAGAAAAGGAGGCAAAUCUCUUAUUUUUUUACUUUUAUUUUUUGUCUUUUUAGGGCCGCACCUGCGGCAUAUGGAGGUUCCCAGGCUAGGGGUUGAAUUGGAGCUACAGCUGCCGGCCACAGCCAGAGCUACAGCCACAACCACAGAAAUGUGGGAUCCAAGCUGCAUCUGUAACCUACACCACAGUUCACAGCCCUGCCAGAUUCCGGACCCAUUGAGCGAGGCCACAUCCUCAUGGAUCCCAGUUAGGUUCAUUAACCACUGAGCCACGAAGGGAACUCUCCAAAAGGAUAUUUUGUGGGUUCCAAUGUUCUGAUCUGUUCUGUUCUGUCCUAGUUAUGAACAAGGGGUGACUAUGUCGGGGGGUGAGGGGAAGUCAGUUCACUGCAAACGAUGCAAAGAGGUUGCUGAAGCUUGGGGGACUGAGUAAGAAAAACAACCUGUUCUGUCAACCUUGAGGGCUGGGGGAAGACAGGAAGACAAGGAGGACCAUCCAAGUUAGAGGAUCAGAUCAGUUUAUUGUCAACUGUUUGAAUGCCACAGGGCACAGAAAGGGCUCCUUGGCAGGGGGGUUCUCAGGGCAGUCAGCAGAAUGAGUCACGGAUUUCCCUCAGAGUCUCUGAAAUUGUAUCUGCAAUUCUCUGUGUACGAAGAGGUAUGUCCUUUUCCGGCAAGGGGAUCCAUAGGUUUUAUGAGAUUUUUCUAAGACUCCACGGCCCUCCCACAAAUAUAAAGCAGAACAACAUCCACCAACCAAAGAAAGCCCCACUGUGUUGGCCAAAAAUGUGCUUGCUUUUGCACGAGAAUGGAAGUUGGUCUUCUCAUGCAUGCGCCAACACGCCAGCAUCUGGACAUGGCUUACGCAUCACAGAUCUUGGAAAACUUUGUAAUGUUCCCUUACUGUUUGACUCUUAUUGGGAGAGAAUGAAGAUGAAAUUAAUUCCUUAAGACCGUUUGGGGUGAGAUAAAACACUGGGCUGUUACAAAAGUAAAAGUGGGGAUUCUAGCAUUUUAUUUUUUGCUGGAAUGGCAAGUAAACGCCUUCGGGGGAGCUGGUUUCCAGGUCCAGUGCCCUCCCUGCAAUUGACAACAGCAUGCCAAACAUGCCCUGGCAACCCAUCCAACUCCCACAUCCUACCAGAGCCUGGCAGCUGGAGGGUCACUGCCUACAUUUUUUACUUUUAUUUUUAUUUAUUUAUUUUUGUCUUUUUGCCAUUUCUUGGGUCGUUCCCACAGCAUAUGGAGGUUCCCAGGCUAGGGGUCGAAUCUGAGCUGUAGCCGCUGGCCUACACCAGAGCCACAACAACGCAGGAUCUGAGCCACGUCUGCAACCUACACCACAGCUAACAGCAACACCAGAUCCUAAAUCCACUGAGCAAGGCCAGGGAUCGAACCCACAACCUCACGGUUCCUAGUCGGAUUCGUUAACCACUGAGCCACGACGGGAACUCCCACUUCCUACAUUUUUUGAUGAUCUUCUUUCAGAACUGAGGGAAAAAAGCCCAGUAAUUAAAUAGUUUGAAUGUAUCUAAGAUACGUAUCAUGAGAUAAAAUGCCCUUUGAGACGAGGAUUCUCUCAGGCUUGUCCUUUUUACCAAUGGAGGGAACAUUUCUUUGAAAAAUGUUCUUAGUAGUGUCAAAACAGAAAGAGGAUUUAUGUUUUAAAAAAGUAUAAUAAACACAACUAAAAGUGCUGGGAAAAAUCCUGCCUAAUGAUCUGGUCAAAAUGACUGAUCUCCAGAGUCAUUUGACAAAUGACAUCCUCUUAAUGUGAAAAAGGCAUUCCUGUGUCGUCUUGCUGGUGGGAAAAUAUUUAGAUGCUGAUUCAGUCUGGGCAAGAUCAUGACAUCUAAUUCAUGUCAGAAUGGAUCAGAAACUAGUAUUUGGUGCCUGUAAAUCCUGACCCUCGUCUUCAUUCUGCCAACAAAGCAGUACUCAGCUGAAAACCUUUGGGAAGGGUGUUUUGAUUUCCUCUCAUCAGAGGAUUUUGAGAGCUCUUUGCACUGUUACUUGUACUCUGAAUAGAAGUGCAAAAGAAAGCAAGGCAAAGUGCUGAAAUGAGCAUAUUUAUAAGUAAUAUAAUAUUUUGUGUCCCUUAUGCAGUUACAGAAUUUCUACUGAAAUGUCACCAAGAGUUUUAUUUAUCCCUCCAUAUGUUAGCCCUUAUUACAUAGAAUAAAUGUCCACUGGAGUUCCCAUCGUGGCGCAGCAGAAACGAAGACGACUAGCAUCCAUGAGGAUGCGGGUUUGAUCCCUGCCUCGCUCAGUGGGUUAAGGACCCGGUGUUGUCGUGAGCUGGGGUGUAGGUGGCAGACGUGGCUCAGAUCCCGAGUUGCUGCGGCUGUGGCUUAGGUUGGCAGCUGUAGCUCCUAUUCAACCCCUAGACUGGGAACUUCCAUAUGCCUUGAGUGCAGCUCUAGAAAGCAAAGAAAAAAAAAAAAAAAAAAGAGUAAGUGUCCAUCAACAGAGGAAUGGAUAAAGAAGAUGUGGCACAUAUAUACAAUGGGCUACUAUUCAGCCAUAAGAAAGAAUGAAUGAAAUAAUUCAUUUGCAGUAACAUGGAUGGACCUAGAGAUUAUCACACUGAGUGAACUAAGUCAGACAAAGAUCACAUGAUACCACCUAUAUAUGGAAUCUAAGAAAACAUGAUGUAGGGGAGGGAGCUUGUUUAUAGAACAGAAGCAGACUCGCAGAUUUCAAAAGCAAUCUUAUGGUUACCACGGGGGGAACCAUGGAGGGAGGGAAGAAUUGGGAAAAUGGGAGUAAUAUAUGUACUGUAUAUAUAUACAUAUAUAUAUAUAAUUGUACAGAAUAGAUGAUUAACAGGAACCUACUGUAUAGCUCAGGGAAAUCUUCUCAACAGUUUGUAAUAACCCAGAUGGGGGGGAGAGUGGAUAUAAUAUAUAUAUUUAUGGCCGAUUCACUUUCCUAUACACCUGAAACUAACACAUCAUUGUAAGUCAAUUACACUCCAAUAAAUUUUUUAGAAAAGAAAGUCAAUCAGAGCACAAAAUGCUAUGUGAAUAGCCCUGAGAUUGCAGUACUUAAUUUCUGAGCUUCACCCUCAGUUUAAAUAGCACCUUUUAAAGGAGUUCGCUUGUGGCACAGAGAUAAAAGAUCCACCGUCAUCCCUGUAGCAGCUCAGGUCGCUGCUGUGGCUCAGGUUGGAUCUCUAGCCUAGGAGUUUCCACACACUGUGGGUGCAGCCUAGAAAAUAAAUAAAUAAAUAAAUAAAUAGCACCUUCUAAAACAUUUGGAAUUAAACAGAACUUCCCUUGCUUUCCUAGGACAGUGAUACCUCCAGACCAGCAGUGUCAGCAGCACCCGGAACUUGGCAGAAAUACAAAUUCUCAAGCCCUUCCUCAGACCUAGUCAUCAGGAACUCCUAGGGUGGGGCCCGGGAUUCCAAGUUCUAACAGGCCCUCCAUCCAAAGUGAUUCUGAUGCUCACACCAGUUCGAGAGCCAUUGGUGAAGGAGAAUAGUUACAGAAACACAGCGGAAUUAAAUGACUGGCAUAUUCAAUGGUCAGCGGUUCGAAUAGGUCAUGACCUUUUCAUUUCUGUACACUGUUUCUACUGUUGCAUUAAUUUCCUUCCAUGCCAUUGCUUUCCAAAUGGACCAAGGACUGUGACUUGCCUCCAAAACUCAUGGAUCGCUUUUUUUUUUUUUUUUUUUUUUGCCUUUUGUCCUUUUAGAGCUGCUCACGAGGCAUAUGGAAGUUUCCAGGCUAGGGGUCUAAUCAGAGCUGUUGCUGCUGGCCUACACCACAGCCACAGCAAUGCGGGAUCUGAGCCAUGUCUGCCAACUACACCACAGUGCACGGCAACGCCGGAUCCUUACUCCACUGAGCAAGGCCAAGGAUCGAACCCACAACCUCAUGGUGCCUAGUCGGAUUUGUUUCCACUGUGCCACGAUGGGAACACCAUGGUUCCCUUUUUUUAAUGGCCACACCCAUAAAGGAAGUUCCCAGGCCAGGGAAUGGAUCUGAGCUGCAGCUGUGACCUAUGUCACAGUUGCAGGAAUGCUGGAUCCUUUAAGCCACUGUGCCAGGCAGGAUAGAACCUGCACUUCUGCAGGGACCCAAGCCGCUUCAGUCAGAUUCUGAACCCACUGUGCCACAGCAGGAACUCCCCAUGGUUUAUGUGUGAACCCACAGAUAUGAUUUUCUAGGGAAACAACCCAACGUCAAGGCCAUGUCGAUCUUACCCAGGGAAAAGGAUUAACAUUGAUAAAUUCACUGAGGAGCUCCUAACACUAAGAGAUGGAAACACUACUAUCAGGUCCUGGUCUUGUGAUAAUGGGGCAUACAGAGUAGACCUGGAAUUAAGGAACAUCUUUUCUGUCUGGUUCAAUGCAGGUCAUCUGUUAGAGGAAAUCAGUCAGCUCAUCUCCCGUAAUGAAAACCAAGGAAUUAGAGUCAUGCUACUCAAAGUUCUGAAAACACUUACCUGUUUUGGCAAGGGGUCUAGAAGAGUACAGUCAUAAUAAUAAAAUAUUAAAAUAACACACAUUUGAAUCUCCAACAGAGCAAGCCACCUGAAAGAAAAAUAAAAUAAAACUGGUGCUGGGUUGGGAAAGAGGCAUAAAUACCUACCAAUGAAUAAUAUCUACAAAGAACACAUAUUUCAGAGCAAGUGAGCUUUUUGUUUUACAAUAGAAAUGUUUAGUACUAAAAGAACAGUAUCAAAAAGAACUUACUCUUUUAUAAUAUUGUCCACUCCAUAGGUAGGUGGGACAGCUUGAUUGCUUUAAAAUGUACAUAAAAUGCUUAGUGGAAGCAUGUAAGGAAUGAGAGGGUAAAAUGUACAUAAAAUGCUUAGUGGAAGCAUGUAAGGAAUGAGAGCCCAGGUAUCUCUCCUAAGUUUUAGAUCUGUGCUUUCUAAUAUUCUUGUCCUUACCUAUGUGUAGCUAUUUAAAUUUAAAUACAUUAAAAUUAAAAUAAAAUAUUUUCAGUU
rnacentral:lncRNA from 1 species